rnacentral:rRNA from 1 species
GAUUGCACCAACAAACAGUUGAUGCAAUAUCGACUAUGUCGAAUAAAAUUCUAGGUAGAAUUAUGAUAAUGACAUUGUCUGCCUAUGUGUCUUGACCAACAUACGUGCCAGCAGUCGCGGCAAGACGUAAAAGACUAGUGUUAUUCAUCUUUAAUAGGUUUAAAGGGUACCUAGACGGUAAAUCAAGCCUUUUCCUUUGGGGACUAAUUUACUAGAGUUACUUGUGAGGGGGUUUUAAAGUACUGCUGGUGUAGAGAUGAAAUUCUGUCAUACCUCUUUUCGUAAGAAAAAUUAUGGCACAGGUAUAGGCGAAAGCAUCCCCUUAUGUGAUAACUGACGUUGAGGGACGAAGGCUCUUUGUCGCGAACAGGAUUAGUUACCCCAGUAGUCAGAGCAGAAAAUGAUGAAUGUCAUAGAUUAGAUAAAUAAGAUUUACUCUAUAAAUGAAAGUGUAAGCAUUCCACCUCAAGAGUAAUUUGGCAACAUUGGAACUGAAAUCAUUAGACCGUUUCUGAAACCAGUAGUGAAGUAUGUUGUUUAAUUUGAUAACCCGCAAAAAACCUUACCACAAUUUGAAUAUUUAUAUUUAUAUAUAUUUACAAGCGUUGCACGGCUGUCUUCAGUUAAUGUCGUGAGACUUUGGUUAGAUCCAUUAAAUUAACG